AUUGAACGCUGGCGGCAGGCCUAACACAUGAAAGUCGAGCGAGCGGCGGACAGGUGUGUAAUGUGUGGGAAACUGCCGGAUGGAGGGGGAUAACUACUGGAAACGGUAGCUAAUAACGCAUACCAUCAGAUGUGUCCAGAUGGGAUUAGCUAGUAUGUGGGGUAAUGGCUCAACAAGGCGACGAUCCCUAGCUGGUCUGAGAGGAUUAUCCGACACAAUGGGACUGAGGAACGGCCGAAACUCCUAAGGGAGGCAGCAGGUGGGAAUAUUGGACAAGGUGGGGAACCCUGAUCCAGCCAUGGCGCGUGUGUGAAGAAGGCCUUAUGGUUGUAAAGCACUUUUAGCGAGGAGGCGUUCUCGCAGAAAAGCACCGGCUAACUCCGGGCCAGCAGCCGCGGUAAUAC
rnacentral:rRNA from 1 species